rnacentral:rRNA from 1 species
AAUGAACGCUGGCGGCAGGCCUAACACAUGCAAGUCGAGCGAGGACUUCGGUCCUAGCGGCGGACGGGUGAGUAACGCGUGGGAACGUGCCCCUUGGUACGGAGUAGCCCCGGGAAACUGGGAGUAAUACCGUAUGAGCUCUACGGAGGAAAGAUUUAUCGCAAAGGGAUCGGCCCGCGUUGGAUUAGGUAGUUGGUGGGGUCAGGGCCUACCAAGCCGACGAUCCAUAGCUGGUUUGAGAGGAUGAUCAGCCACACUGGGACUGAGACACGGCCCAGACUCCUACGGGAGGCAGCAGUGGGGAAUCUUAGACAAUGGGCGCAAGCCUGAUCUAGCCAUGCCGCGUGAGCGAUGAAGGCCUUAGGGUUGUAAAGCUCUUUCAGCUGGGAAGAUAAUGACUGUACCAGCAGAAGAAGCCCCGGCUAACUCCGUGCCAGCCGCCGCCGUAAUAC